rnacentral:rRNA from 1 species
GAAUGCUUAGAUAUCACACAGAACACCGAUUGCGAAGGCAGCACACUAAGUCAUUAUUGACGCUGAGGCACGAAAGUGUGGGGAUCAAACAGGAUUAGAUACCCUGGUAGUCCACACUGUAAACGAUGAUAACUCGCUGUCGGCGAUACACAGUCGGUGGCCAAGCGAAAGCAUUAAGUUAUCCACCUGGGGAGUACGACCGCAAGGUUGAAACUCAAAGGAAUUGACGGGGGCCCGCACAAGCGGAGGAACAUGUGGUUUAAUUCGAUGAUACGCGAGGAACCUUACCCGGGCUCGAACGGUGCAUGAAUAUACGAGAGAUUGUAUAGUCCUUCGGGACAUGUAUCGAGGUGCUGCAUGGUUGUCGUCAGCUCGUGCCGUGAGGUGUCGGCUUAAGUGCCAUAACGAGCGCAACCCUUGUCAUUAGUUGCCAUCAGGUCAAGCUGGGGACUUUAAUGAGACUGCCACCGUAAGGUGUGAGGAAGGGGGGGAUGACGUCAAAUCAGCACGGCCCUUAUGUCCGGGGCGACACACGUGUUACAAUGGGAGGUACAGAGGGCAGCUAUCCGGUGACGGAAUGCUAAUCUCCAAAACCUUUCUCAGUUCGGAUUGGAGUCUGCAACUCGACUCCAUGAAGGUGGAUUCGCUAGUAAUCGCGCAUCAGCCAUGGCGCGGUGAAUACGUUCCCGGGCCUUGUACACACCGCCCGUCAAGCCAUGGAAGCUUGGGGUGCCUGAAGUUCGUGACCGCAAGGAGCAACCUAAGGCAAAACAGGUAACUGGGGCUAAGUCGUAANCAAGGUAACCCGAAAGGGCGAAUUNCGUAACUCGC